GUGUAAUGGCGGCCUCAGCCUGCAGCUUCCCCCUUGUCGCUCUCGGGUGUGGCCGGGUUUUGCCAACGGUCUGGUCAUUCCAGUAAAGGACAGCAACUUCUAACGUCUGCAGUGGUUCCAUACAGGUUCUUCAGCAGCUUCGUGAGCCAGAGGUGACGUGUUGUACUUGCUCUUCAUGCAAAGCCAGAAGGUAUUUCCAGAAGACAAGAAUAAGGGGAAAGUAUUUUGCAGAAGAACAAAAGGUUUGUAUGAAGAAAGGACAAAUUCUCGUCAUACUUAUAUCCAGGAUUUCAAGGAGACUGAUUUAUUUCAUCAAUGAUAUGCACACACGUCCUGAUAUUGCAGGUUGUUCCAUGCUGACAAGCCCUGUGUCAAUGUAGAUUCCUACUGAUGUUUGUGGGGUUUCGCAGACAUGGAAAGUCAGCAUUUGAUAAGCUGCUGGACCAAGCCCUUGUAUACCUUAGAGUAUGUCUUAUGACUAUCAUUAUUUUCUUUGACAAACUUUCUAUCACAAAAAUUUCUCAUUUUCUUCAUGGGGAGCUGCACAGAUGAUACACCUGAUAUUUUAAAGCCAAAUAGUUUCUGCAUAUCCUAGCCCAAAAGAUAUCUUAACAGAUCUUCAGCUAAAUAAAUAUCCUUAUACUAUUUUAGUUCUCGUA